ACACGCUACAUUAGAUACCCGUGUAGUCCUAGCCGUAAACGAUACUCGCUAGGUGUCGGCCACGGUGCGACCGUUGUCGGUGCCGUAGGGAAGCCGUGAAGCGAGCCACCUGGGAAGUACGGCCGCAAGGCUGAAACUUAAAGGAAUUGGCGGGGGAGCACCACAACGGGUGGAGCUUGCGGUUUAAUUGGAUUCAACGCCGGAAAUCUUACCGGGACCGACAGCAACAUGAAGGCCAGGCUGAAGACUUUGCCGGAUUAGCUG
rnacentral:rRNA from 1 species